UAAAAUUAAACGAGGAAGUCUAGUUUGUAUACAUUUAACUAUUAUAGGUAAUCCACAACUGAUCCAUUUUGGGUUUAAAUAUCAACUAGGACACAGGUAUGUACAAGAACAUAUAAUUAAUAGUAGCUUUUAUUGGUCAUACAUGUAGUAUCAGAGGAGAUGGAUUAAGGGCAGAGGUAGGGGUGGGUCCCCUCAUGGAAAUAUAUGUACGGUUAAUGCAUAUACUUUUCACAUGUUCUGCUCUUAACGUUUCCUAGCUUGCCCCCUAUCAAAAUCUUGGAUACGUGUCUGAUUAUUAUACUGUUAUAUAAUACAUUAUAUAUUUAUAUAUGCAAAGUCAUGUACAUGUAUAUGUAUGUGCACUUUAAAAUAAAAAGUUAGUUAGUGUUGGAAAUUAUGUCAAUAGAAUACACACCAUCAUUUAUUAUUGUGAACAAUUAGAAUUUAAUCAUGAUGUUAUGGGUUGAUGGAAAAUAUAGAUAUAAGAAGCCAAUGAGACAACUCUCUCUCUCUCUCCAAGUCACAAUUAGCAAAAAGUAAACCAUUAUAAGUCAAACUACCACCUUCAACACGGAUCCUUGGUUCACACCGAACAGAUAGCUAUAAAGGGCCCAAAAAAUGACUAGUGUAAACAUUCAAACCUGGAAAACCAACGGUCUAAUCUCAAUAAAAAAACAAGAAACGAGAAACACUUAUGAACCACAUCAACAAGCACAACCACUGAGCAGCAAUACCAAUUCAUAUACAAAUAAACGAUUAUACCCUAAUUUGGCCAAAAGAUAUGUAAAAGCACAAGUCAUAUUGACAAUGCCAAACUAUAAUAUAAAUAUUUGGCUUUUCUAACCUAAAAUUCUGCAUUUUCAUUUCUUAAAUUGAUUAAUAACAAAUGUCCAACAUGGUUUCAUUCUAAAAUUCAUGGCAAACUUAAAUGAAGUUGGAGACAACCAUGAUUUAAAAAUUCUUAUUCCAACAAACAAUUUAUGGAGACUGACACCAGUAAGACGUUUGAUAUCUUUAUUGACAGUAUAUCAAAUGUUUUUCUGAUUUUACUUUUUAUAUAAUAUGCUAAAAACUACGAUAAUUAGUCCUCAGUUUCAUCUGCAAAAUAAUUCCUUCGUAAUAUCAAGACAAACACAUUUAGUUUUGCUUUGAAUCAUUCGUAAAACUAUCAAUAAAAAUUAAUAAUGACACUCGGCAUCUUACAAGGACCCCCUAGGCCCAACUUUGUGUUCACUUGUUAUAUACGCGUACACGCUUAGACAGAUUUACAUUUAACAAAGGAGGGAUAAUAUAUAAGGACACCUGAGCUGUUUCAUACAUUUACCAUACCGUGUAAGGCAAAUGAGUCGAUUUCUACAGUUUGUGUAUCAGGUUUUGUGAUUUUUUUAACAGUUUGUUAAGUUUUAUGUGUAUUUGACAUCCUGUUCACCUAAUCUUCAAAAUUAUUAACCAACUUUCAUUAUUUAAUGAAAAACUUGCAUGAAAGUCAACAUUAUACUAUUAUUUUUUGUUUGUGCAUUAAUCAGACAAUAAAGUUUUGAAAAGAGGUUGGUUGGUCAGUUUAUGUCAAUUGAGAAAUACUACACACAAACCCUGUCCAAAAUAGUAACAAUGCUCUUCAACUUCGUACUUUAUUUGGCCUUUUUAACUUUUUUGGAUUCGAGCGUCACUGGUGAGUCUUUUGUAGACGAAACGCGCGUCUGGCGUAUAUACAAAAUUUAGUCCUGCUAUCUAUGAUGAGUUUAUUCAAGCAGUUACUUUUACUUUAAAAUCAAAUUAAAGUAGCGAUCCAUAGGAACUGUGAAUGCAAAUUGCUGCAAAGUUCUUUGUUUAUAAUAUCUGACUGAAUUCAUAUUUAAUUUUCCACAUUACGCGAAUGCGUGAAUUAAGAAACGGAAGAAAACGUCUACGAAUUUGUAAACCAGACCAGGAAGUCUUGAUUUAAGGUUGUGAGUCUAUCAUAAAAUAGAGAGCAAGUGAGUUUGAUUGCUAGUACUUUUAUUUGUUAUAAAUUAUGCAUCUAUACGGGUUUUUGAAGUUUUCAGUAUGUUAAAUGUAUAUUUUUCUAUUUCAGUUAAAAGGAAUUAAUGACAGACAAUGAAUAUGCAUCAACUGCCCUUAUUCGCAGUACUACUUCUGCUAGUACCCUUUGCGUCAGGUCAGUGUUCGGAUCAAACCCUCACCAAUAUUGAUAUGUCCAACCGAGGUAUAACGGAAAUCGACGAGUCAUUGUUCACAAACUGUAACCAAGCAGCAUAUUAGUAUUGAUCUGUCUGGAAACCAAACCAAAUACACAUAU
rnacentral:lncRNA from 1 species